UACGGAGGAUGCAAGCGUUAUCCGGAAUGAUUGGGCGUAAAGCGUCCGCAGGUGGCUGUGUAAGUCUGCUGUUAAAGAGUCUAGCUCAACUAGAUAAAAGCAGUGGAAACUACACGGCUAGAGUACGUUCGGGGCAGAGGGAAUUCCUGGUGUAGCGGUGAAAUGCGUAGAGAUCAGGAAGAACACCGGUGGCGAAGGCGGCAUCCUGGACCGGCAUUGACGCUGGAGGCGCGAAGCCAGGGAGCAAACGGG
rnacentral:rRNA from 1 species